UGAAAAAAAGUGAAUGUGUUACAUUCAUAAUGAAACCCAAAUAUUGUAGAUAGUAUAUCAAGAAACAAUUAACUAUCAUUAAGCAGCACUAUGCGUAUUUUCUCUCUAAAUUACACUGCUUACAAUUGAAGAGUUUAGAAAAACAAAAAUUACUUCGAAAUAAAACAACAAUCUUUCUAUUAUACUACCAAAUUCGCGAUAUAAUUCGCAUUGGGAGUGACAAGCAUAAAUUGCUAUUUUACUCCUCAUGCAAAGCCUUCAUCAACUGGACCUUGUGAAAGCUUUGACUUGCAACCCUGCAGAAUACCAAGAGAACAAUGCAACACUAUUAAGCACUUUUGGCUAGAGAAAAACUAUACAAGUAAUAAGGGUAAUAAUAGCAGAAACUUCUAAUAGGCAAUUAAGAGUAUCAUUUGCUUCUCAUAGUAGGGGGAAAAAAAAGANNNNNNNNNUGGCUUGAAAAUGGGGUUUGCAGGAUCUUCCUCGGGUAAAGGCUCCUCCCCAGCAGCUCUGCGUGUCGCGUUCUCCGACCUAUAAUAACAAAAACCAAAACCAUGAUAGACUGAACUAAUUGAGGACGAGGAUUAAAUAACUAUUGCAACCCUCAAUGUCACAUUUGCUUAUAUAUAACAUAAAAAUCCACACAGCAAAUAUUGUGAAAAUCCAAAUUCACUGGAUUAACUUAAUCUUCAGUUGAAACUUCAAACAACUAUUAUGCUAUAAACUUAACACUCAUUUCUCAUUUAUUGAAUAUGAAAAAACUAAUCGUAUAGCAACAUUUAGCGGCCACCCCAAAAAACCUAUAACAGGAUGACAGCUACUCUGAUACAUUUAUAACCGUUGGAAGAUAAAUGACAAAAAGAAUAGAAUACACAAAACUAAAAAAAACACAGAAUUAGAGUAAAUUAGAGGUAAGAAAUCAGAGUCAAAAGCUACAAAACACUAGAAUACAAAAGAGAAAAGAAUCACAACUUCAUGAAAAAGAAAAGCGAGAAAACAGAGCACUUGACUGGAGUUGAUGAAUAGAGUUUGUUUGCCGGAAAACACCUUGGAGGUGAUUCUAACAUCUUCAGAGGGCAAUGGGUCAGAUGGGGUCAUGCAAAGGUAGGCUUCUGUUCAGAAGUGAUAAAAGCAUGGGUUUCCGACUUUAAAGCUCUUUUCCACCCGGAAAUCCUAACAUAUGUCAAACCCACAACUUUAACAUUCAAGAGUUUAAGGGCAUUUGAGGUACUUAGUCGAUUCCACCAUUGUGAUCCAAAAGUGUGCGACAAACCGUAAUUACUGGCACAUAGUGAUGUGACGGGGCCUAGAUAAGCCACGUUCACAACACAGUGACAAUGGCAUCACUAUUGCUUGCUAUUCACAACUCUGGACAUGACACACAACAGACGUGUAAAACAUACCCUAACAUAUUCCUCAAUAAAAUUCAAUUGCACCAACAUUGAUGGCACUAUCAAGCCCUGACCAUGGGAACAUGUCCUCUUGAAUCUCAAUAUCCUUCAUUUAAUUUGAAACAAUACAAAAGACAGGUAAUUUUUCAUGUAAAUAUUGAUCGUUUACGUUCGGUCCAAAUAUAUCUAGCAUACUCCUGAUAUAGUAACUUCAUUUACUCAAUAGUAUGGAUAAUAGAGGUCCCAAAAAUGGAAUUACAAUCCCUCCACAAAUGUCACCACAAACUUUUGAUGACAAAUGGUUAAAUUGAUAACCGUAUUGAAUUUAUAAUGAUUAAAAAACGUAAUUGUGGAACAAAAAGAGGACAUAGUGUGAUGGCGCAGUGGGGAUGGAAUUGCAAUCCACAGACCACGAGUCCAUCAGAUUGAAUCAUCCACCAAGAGAUAUCAAAUGCAUAACCCAACUGGUUUAGUAUUUCGUCACACGCAUUUAACUUAAAUUUCCCCAGUCUACCCAGUGGUCACAAUGACUAUAAAAUAAUGACUCUAAUUUGUAAACUGAAUUCACUCGAAUAUCCUAAAUCAUAUUUUCAAAUCAGUCACAGAAGAAUAAAUGUCGACAUAUGGAAUCUAACCUUACAAUAAAAAGAUCAAUGAAUUUACAACGUGGUUGUUAGAACAAACAAUAGUUCAAGUACAGACAAAACCAUACCUUCUCUUCUGAAGCCAUGCUUGCUGCUGAGCCUGCUGACGAGACAAGCUACGAUAGUGGUAUUGGAGCUGAAAUAGAGAAAACUUCGGUAAAAAUGUAUUCGAGAAUACAAUUUACAUAUUACUCAUCCAUGCAUUCAUGAAAACCUAAAAUUACCUUUUGUUGUUCUACUGACAAGUCAUCCAUGCAUUCAAUCAAAAAUUCCAUAUUUCUCUCCAUUAGAGAACUGGAUGACAGUUGCAGACGAUCAUAAUCACACUGCAAUAGCACAAUAGCAUAUGAAAACAAUCUAAAUUGAGAACAGCCAAAAGAAUCUCGGGCAAAUAUCGUAGCUUACCUGGGUUACUGGAGUCUCAGGUUCCAGCUCUGUCAUAAAAGCACUGAUAAGGGAAGAAUUUGAAACUUUGAUCUGAUUCAUAAACAAACAAAAAAAUGAUAAGCAAAUUCAGCAUUAAAUAGCAAGUGGCCUAGAUUAUGAAGUCUUGCACAAUUCAUUUUUAAUUAAUGCAUUUACAAAAGUGACCACGAUUCUUCAUAUUCCAAUCCACCAUGAUGAAUGUGUUUUUCUAUCAUUUCAUAUUUUCAUCGCCUAAUUAAGAUUAUUUAGUAAUGCAUUACAUGCACAUUCUAUAUUUAAACAAAUAAAUAAAAUAAUUUAUUAGUAGAAAGAUCAUUUGGUCAAAUACUCAAAGGUUACAGCAAAGUUCAAGAAAGCUUACAGGUAUUUCCUCGAAGAUAUUCACCCAUGAUAAGUUAUUCUCUCUCAAUCUAUUUCAUAAGAUAAGACAGAUAGUUAGGAUUAGAAAGCAAUUGGUUCAACUUCAAGAAGAAAACAUUACAUCAACAAGAAAAUUCAUACUUCUCGCCAGUAAAAUUAUUGCUGCGGUACAGUUCCAUGAAUGAGUCUGAGAGCUUCAAGGCCUUCAGAGCUAGGACACCUUGAUCAGCCCUUGACGGGUCAUAUAUUAUGCAAACACAGCGUCUAAUAUUCUCCUGAAAAACAAAUAAUUUUUAAACAAAGUCAUUUAUCUGAUUAUGAAAUUGUUAAAAGAUUAUUUCAGCAACUGCAUCCAAUAUGGAAAAUCACCACCACCACUCAUUAAUGAUAAACUUUUGAGAAACAGAAAACCUAGACUAUGGAAGCAGCAUGCAAUCCUUAUAAUCUGGUUAGUCUGCAAAAAAUUGUACUUUUGUUCAUUUAACCAUCUAUUCUAGUCAACUUCCUACAUUUCUGCCUCAGACCAAUGCAAGUAAAAUUCUCAGUUGAUUAAUCUGCAAAUUUCAUCUAAAGAUCAAAUGCAAACAUCUGGAUGUCAAAGAAUGACACACUGCCUCUAUAAUCUUAUAAAGUACCCAAUAGAAUGUUAUAAUCUUCUGUGGUGCAUAUCACACAUUUUUUUGCCUGUUGGGCAUUCUAAAAUUAUAGUUCCACAGAAUAUUAUGUAGUUUUCCGCAAUAAGCUCUCACUAGUGGCUCAUCUGACCAACAUUGAAUAGCUUGGAGGACCAUGAAAAAGAAUAACUUCAGCCCAUUCAUAAAAAAUAGUAAACUAGAGGAGCAUUUAGUUUCCACAAUAACAUAUAACUUUAUAAGUAAGUCCACAAAAUGCCGGCUUAAAAGAAAAUAUGAAAAAAUAAAUUUAGAGCCAAUACCUGGUAAUUCAUAAAGGUUUCAAUCAGCUCCGCAGUUUGAUAGGAGCCAAGCAAUGUAGACUGGUACCUAGAUUCAGAGAAUUAUCCCUCGAGUAAGAUAUAUGAUUACAAAUAACACAUUGAACCAAAUUCAAUCGCGUAUAUCAAACCACCGAAAUAAGAAACAUUCAUGCAUAUAUAAAGUGGUACUUUAAUCAUACAUACCAUCCAACGGUAUUAUUGUCCACAUUAACUUCCCUCAAGCACCUCAUCAUUUCAAGCUGGUAAUUGGCACCAUCAGCUUCGAUUUCCUCAUCCUCCUCCCUCAUCUGCAAAUUUCAGAAACAGAUAUUACUAUAAAUUAAGAUGUCAAUGUUAGAUAAUUUGAAAAUGGGGAAACAAAAGAAAAAAAAAACAACAAAAAAGUGAUAUCAUACCGGAAAAGGGAAGCAGUUAGUAACUUCAAGAUCCUGCCCAACAUCCAACCCAAGAAGUUGUCCAGUGACUAAAGAAGGUGAAUGGUCCUUACAAUGCUUAAUUAUCUUCAGGAUAACCUGUUAAACCAAAAGAUAACACCAUCAAGACCAGAAAGGUUUGAGUAUUAUCUUCACCACACAAAAACUAAUUGAUGAAUUCCUUACAAUAUGAGAACCUGCCUUAAAUAAUUUACAAACCUACAUGACAUGGUCCAAUAUUUACCAGGAAAGAGAUACAUAAACACCAAAAAUAUUGUUUAAAUUUCAGCUAUAUCCUAUUUAGUACCAACAUUGUCAAGUAGCAACUAUAACAUCACUAAAGCACUAUUGCAUAGCAAAAUUUGAACAAGUCAUCAUUAGCCUGUGAUAUCCUACUAAGUAUAAAGUGUUAUCAGAUAGUGGCUAUUGCAAAAUUUAAAGAAACCACUGUUUUCCGCUAUCACAACACUAUUUAGUACAAAUGAUGUCAAAUAGCAGCUAUUGAGGUGCUAUAGCACUGCUCUGCAUCAGAAUUUGAACAUACGUGUGAUCGACGAUUGACAACACUAACAAUGUUAAAUGUUACUUAAGUAUUGCAAUUCACAAAAUCAUACAUCAUUUGUGAAAAUAAAGAUUCCAUAAACAUGUGAAGUUACAAAACAACACAAGUAUAUAUUACCCAGAUGCAAAAACCAACAGAGACCCAUAAUUAUAAAUAAUGUAACCUUUCAAAACCCCAAAUAAAGGCACCUUUUUGGAGAUUUAAAAAUAUUUUAUUAUAGUGCAGUGCAUCAUUAUAAAUUGAACAAUUAUAGAGUAAAAAGAGUAGAAUUGAUACCAAUCCUUCCAUCUGGACUUUUCUAAGAGGAGUUGCAACCUCUUCCGUUGCAACAGCUUGAAGAAAAGACCUAGUUGCAGCUGCAGAAGAAGAAUCAACAAUUGAGUCAUAUGAGUGAAGAAAAUUAAUCAGAAAAAAAUGAAGAAAACGAAAAAAUGGAGAUUGUUGUGAGAUUACUUGUGGUAGCCAUGAUUUGAAUCUGAAUUGUAGCUACACAACCACCGCGAAAAUCGAUAGGGGAUGAGGGAAAUUGUGCAGAAAUUUGCAGGAAGAAGAAACCCUAACGCCGGAGGAAGAGAGAGUUUUUGCUGAGUAAUGAAUUGGGCUCAAAUAGCCCACCUAAAUUUUGCCUAAAUAAAACCCAAAAGAAAAGUCCUUUUAUUUUAUUUUUUUUAAAAUACGAAAACAAUAUUUUUUUUAGAUAACACAAAAUAAUAAGCAAUUGGAAAUGGAGGUUGAAGUUUGAACCUCAGUCAUGAUAUCUAACCUAACAAUUUUUUUCUCCACCAUUAGUAUCUGGCUCACUGAACUACUAAUUUGGUUCGGAGGUUAGUUUUGAUAUCAAAUGGUUUCAUCCCCUCCCGAUCGUAGUUGUGGAGGAUCAGAUCGUUGUUCUCCUUACCAUAUUCAGUGUCAAUCACCACCGGACCAACUAAUAAUUAAUAAUACUUGCAAUACUUAAGUAACACAUUCAACGUGUUAGGAAUAUUCCCUUUACUACAAUCACUCUCUUGUUUGAUCAAAUCAAUGUGGAGCUCACAUUUUAGAAAUCGGUCAAACCUAAAGUGAUGAGAUUCAUAUUGAGUUCACUAUGUAGAAGAGUGAAUAUUUUGGUGAUUGUUGAAAAUAGAGUAAUUUUAACACUCUUGAUGAACACUAUAUUUUUAUUUUUGAGUGUCAUGAACGUUUAUUCUUUUCUAUUUUAUGUAAAAAAAAUUAGGACGAGGGGAUGUGUCCUAGUUCAAGGUAGAAUUUUUCUUAGGACUUUUAGAGCAUUUAUAAAUGUAAUUACAUCUAAUUCCCUCCAAAAAUACUAUCAGAAUUUAAAUCCAGGAUCUCUCGGAUCCAAAAUUUGUCUUUUUUACCACUACAUUCAUUCUAAUAUUCACUCUUUUUAUCGGGAAAAAUCAACGCAUAUUCCAUACUCCCUCCGGCCUUAUUUAUAGGCAAAUCUCUCUUGUUUCACACAUAUUAAGAAAAUUGUUAUUUUUACUAAACUACUCCUUAUAAUACAUUAAAUUUGCAUUAGAAUUAUACAAUCAUGUUAAAAAGUAGAACAAUUAAUUAGAGAUACUUUUGGAAGAAUACUAUUAAAUAUAGUUUUUUUGGUAACUUUUACUUAUAUUUGAGGUCAAAUUUUCUUAUUGACUUUUAGUUAUAAAUAAGGCCGAAGAGAGUAUUUAAAAAAUAGGUCUCACAUAAUGAGUCUUUACCCAGGACAUUACAUUUUGGUAUUUGAGCCAUGAAGAUGUUGUAGUACUUCGUGAUGAUGGCUGCAAGUUUACACGACUUGUAGAAUUUAACGUAAAGACUUAUACUAUUUUGCUCAUUUUAUUAUUACUUGUAACAUAUGAAAGAAAUACUUUCUUCUCAAGUUUAUUACUCGUAACAUAUGAAUACUUUCUUGAGGAGUGCUAGUAACACACUCUUUAACAAACACACUCUAACACACUAUUUUUUAUUGGUUAAAAUUUAUAUGGGUCCCAUAAAAGUUAUAUGGGUCCACAUUUUUUUAUGGGACCCAUGUGAAUUUCAAUCAAUAAAAGAGAGUGUGUUGGAAUGUGUUUAUUAAAGAGUGUGUUGCUAGCAUUCCUUCAUUCCUUUAUGGGACCCACAUUUUUCUUCCACUUCUUCAUUCCUCCCGUUAAAAAGUACGAAUACAAGUUUUAUGAAUUAAGUAUUCUUUUCAUCCUUAAAUUAAAUAUAAACAUUCAUUGCAUAUUUCACUCUUAUUAAAAAAAAAUAUAGUAACCAAUUGUUAAUUGGUUCAGUAGUGAUUGAUGCUAACUUGAUAGGGAGAUCAAAGUUCGAUCCCUCGCAACUACGAUCACACUCAAUCCGAUUCUAUGGUAUAUCUACGCUUAUCUAAUUCCUCCUUGAGCUUUUCAAUUAUCUUAUCCUUUUCAUUUACAAUUUCCAUAAUCCUAGCAUUCUCAUCUUUAAGUGCUUCAAAUUGACAAACAAUUCCUUCAAUUUGAGCUUCAAUAGCCUCAUCACUUAACUCAAAAACACUUUCCACCACUCUAAUCACACGCCAUAAACUCACCACAACCAAUAAACCACCACCUCUCCUCUCCAAAAACACUUCCAUAAUUAAAGCACCAAUAGCCACAACACCAUCCACAACAUAUCCCGGAUGCUUAAAAAAUGAAGAGCCCAAACCCACUAAUAAAAAAAUUAUCUUUAAUGAAAUAAUACUCAAAAUACAAAUUCCAAUCCAAUGGAAACAUAAUUCUUCUACUUUGUUUAUUUUUUGUUCACAUGAAAUUAAAGAUGAAGAUAAUUCAAGAAUUGUGAUGAUGAGGUCUAUAAUGAGUAAAAAAAUUGAAAUCAUACGAAUUAAUGUUGAUUCUAGGAAAUUGACCAAUUGUAUACGCCAUGGUGCUUUAUUCAACAAAUCUUGUUGGUUUGAAAAAAUAAACAACCAUUUUUGCCUUCUAUUCCAUGAUUUUAUUAGACUUGUGAUUGAUGAAUCUAAUAUUUGCAUGGAAAAAUAAUUUGUGGGGGUUUGUGUUUGAUUGGUUUGUGUGGUGGACACAUGAAUGGAUUUCAAGGUGUUCAUUGAUCAUAUGAGAAAUGUUGGAAUCAAAAUUUGGUGGUAAGGGUUGCAAGCUUUAUGAUUUUAAUUUUUUUUUUAAUAUAUAAGAGAAUGUUGGUUAGAAUUGUGACGUAUUAGAUGUGAGAUAUUUGUGUUAGUGAAGUGCAAGUAAGCUUUGAAGGUUUUGUAUACUUUAACUUUAGGGUCACGUUGGAAGGGUUGGUACAUUAAUUAAUUUAACAAAUACGCAAUGUCCUAAUUUUCCUUCACAUAUUUGAGUAGCUAGAAGACAACAGGCCAAAAUCCAGCAAAAGAUCAUAUGCAACAAAAUGUUAUUGUCAUGACAAUGGAAACGGUUUUGGAGUUUUUGGGCAAAGACAUGUGAUGGUAAAAAUGGAUUUUGUAGGGAGAAUUGGCGGUGGUGAAAUAUAAAUCUUUUGAAAGUUANNNNNNNNNNNNNNNNNNNNNNNNNNNNNNNNNNNNNNAAUCUGUAUACUAUUUUUAUCAAACCAUUCAAUAUUUUAUUCAUUCAAACAUGAAAGUAUAAAAGUUAGACAAUACACUAUGUUAGAGAUUAGAGUUUGAAUUCGAGUACACCUGUUUCAUUUUUUUGAAAUAGAAUCUAAGUACACCUAUUUAUUUACCUUAAAGAGGUAAAUUCUAUCCACUUUACUUGACAAAAAAACCUUAUAUUUUUGGUGAAAUCAUAUAUCAAAGGNNNNNNNNNNNNNNNNNNNNNNNNNNNNNNNNNNNNNNNACUCCCUCAAUCCUUAAUUAUAAGCAAAAAUCAACUUUUCAGAUUCAUUGAAAAACUAAUGUAUCUGACCUAUAUUAUAGACCAAAUACAUCCAUUAUUGAAUGAAUUUCAAAAGUAUAAUUUUGCUUAUAAAUCAGGAUAGAGAGAGUAGUAUAUAUUAAAUGUAUUUAUCUAUUAUAAUAUUUUAAUCAGUAUAAUAUUUCAAUCAAAUGAAUGAGUACAGUUAAUUUCUUAUGAAAAAUCAUUUGAAAGAAAUCGGGUUCUAUUUUUAGAAGGAAUAAUUUUUUGUCAGAUUUAUCUUGUUGUCGAAUUUCAUAUAUGACCAUCCCUAUUCUCCUGAAAAUCAGAGGUUACCAAAAAUCUAUUAUUAAAUAUUUUAUUAUUAUUUUUUUUGGUACAAUUAAAUAUUUUAUUUAAUAUUUAAUAAUAUAUUUUUCGGCCCCCAUCUCAUAAAUCUCUGCAUCUGUCCCUCAUCCUUCCACGUAUGCAAAUGUAGAGAAUGCACCCAAAGUUGGUCCCCGUACAGUUCACAACUAAUAGAAAGUUUAAUUCAUGAGAUGAGAUGACUGCAUUGCCGAUUUUGAAUUCUAUUAAACUGUUUGAAUUGGAUUCCACUUAUGUGAAUAUCGACUAUUCUUCGUUGAAUUCUGAUGUCAUUUCUACUAAAAUGACAUACUCAAUUGCGUUUGUUUAUUUGAAAAGGAAGACAACUUUAAAUUAUUUGUACUUUAUAUAAAUGUUAUCUUAAGAUAAUUGUGACCAACCAAAAUCUUAAUUUGAUAAAUAUUUCUGUAAGAAUUUUCCCAAAAUCCACCGCUAACCUAAAGAUAAUGUAUAAUAGUAUUAACAAAGGCUGCUGAAUAAAAUUUCCAAGGGAAAAAAACGACUGAUAUUAAAGUGUUAGGAAAAUCAACAUCAAUAAACAUAAAGAUACAUAAUCUAUGCAUUGACAUGAAUCACUUGAUCCCACGUUUCCUUAGAUCAAUAUACCUUGUGCACAAAAAUAUACUCCAUCCGAUUUUAUAUAUAAAUUUCAUAUAUAAGUAAAAAUUGAAUUUUCAAAUUUAUUAUGAAAAUUAUAUAUGUAUCUAGAUUAUAUUAUUAUAUAGAUAUAGAUAGAUCCAUCACUUUUUUAAUUGAUAAUUUUUUUAAAAUAAUUUAUCAAUAAUGAAUUAGUGGUAGGGUCUUAGUCCUUUUAAGCAUGUGGUCAGAGUUUGAUUUCUAGCUUAUGUGUACGAAGAAAAUUUGGUUGAAAGAUGAGACCUCAUCUUAUGUGUCCCGCAGUCAUCGCUAAUGGUGGUGAAAAUUUCACACCAAUAUCAUUAUAACAAAAACAAUUUACUCAUAUAUAAAACCGGAAAGAGUAAUUCAUAUAUUCAUAUAUAAAAGACCGGAAAGAGUAAUUUAUAAAGAACAUUAAAUUAUUACUGUAAAAAAAAAAACAUGAAAUUAUUAGUGGAAAUAUAUAUGCAAUGACUUGAUAGCCAAGUUUUGUUCUCCUAUCGGAUUCAGACACCUGUAUUCUGGUCUAGUUGCCAAUUGUCAUUUGAAUUCCAACUUAGUUUUUUUUUCCUUGACUUUUCUUUAUUUUUCACUAUUUAGUUAAAGUUUGACUCAGUCUUUUAAUUUGUGGUAUGAUGGUGAAUAAUUAUAAAUAGACCAAAGGGGCGAGGAUAUUCAUAACUUUAACUUUUUGUGACCUUUACAUAGAAACAAAGAAGAUUUUGUUUAGUGUUGUAUUGUGAGACUCAUAGCAAUGGCAAAAGUUGGAAGAAUGAAGUUAGGAUCACAAGGCAUGGAAGUGUCCUUACAAGGACUUGGUUGCAUGAGCAUGUCUGCUUUCUAUGGUCCUCCUAAGCCUGAACCUGACAUGAUUUCUCUCAUCCACCAUGCCAUAGAUUCUGGUGUCACUCUUCUUGAUACCUCUGAUGUCUAUGGUCCUCAUACCAAUGAACUCCUUAUUGGAAAGGUUAUCACUUUCUCUUAUGUUUUUUUGUUGGCUUUCGCCAUCAGUUUAAUCUGGUUUAGGGGUCAGUUCUGGCAUUAAGUAGUUCCAGCCCCUCCAGAUCGCAAUUGCGGGGAUUGAACCGUGGUCCUCCGUACCAAGUUCAGUGCCAAUCACCACUGAACCGAUUAACGAUUGGUUUUUUCUCUUAUGUUUUUAGUGUGUGUUUGAUUAUGCCAUAACUAAAAUUGAUUUUGAGUGAAAUAUGUUUGGAAUUGUGGAACAGGCUCUUAAAGGAGGGGUAAGAGAAAAGGUUGAGUUGGCUACAAAGUUUGCUGCUAGAGUUGUUGAUGGGAAAUUUGAGGUUUGUGGUGAUCCAUCUUAUGUGAGAGAAGCUUGUGAGGCCAGUUUGAAGAGACUUGAUAUUGAUUGUAUUGAUCUCUAUUAUAUACAUCGGAUUGACACUCGUGUUCCAAUUGAAAUCACGGUUUGAUUUCUUCUAACUUCUCUUUAAUUUGAUUGUAUACCAUCAGUGGCGGAGCUAGAACUAUAUUUAUGGGAAAACUCUGUUUUUAACAAUGUAAUUAUUUGAACCAAGUAUCUCAUUGACAACUAUAUCAAUCUAAGAUAUGAAAUUGAACUAUUUAUUGAAAUAUAUACAAAGACAAUUUGUGACAGCUUCAACUUUUCCCUUUUUCUAUGUAAGAUUGGGGAGCUUAAAAAACUUGUUGAAGAGGGAAAAAUAAAAUACAUUGGUUUGUCUGAGGCCUCACCUUCAACAAUCAGAAGAGCUCAUGCAGUUCAUCCAAUAACAGCUGUGCAAUUGGAGUGGUCACUUUGGGCAAGAGAUGUGGAGGAAGAAAUAAUUCCAACUUGCAGGUUUGAUUUAGUUUCUAGUAAUAUUAUUUGAUAAAAUUGCAAUGAUAUGAAUCACCGACACCGACACUGAAUACAUUAAUGAUAUACGUAGGCACAAGUAAUAGUUUGAGAAAAUGAAAGUGAUUAAAUGUAACUACAUGUAUUAUUGGUGUCGUGUCUGACAUCAAACACCUUUUUCAUCUGAAUUGUCGGUGCUACAUAAAUAAAUAUGAAGUCUAAUUUUAUAAGCCAUGAUUUUAUUUCUUAGGGAACUUGGUAUUGGAAUUGUUGCAUAUAGUCCUCUUGGGAGAGGAUUCUUUUCAUCUGGAACAAAGAUUACUGAUACCUUUACAAAGGAAGACUACCGUCAGGUUUGUGGAAAAGCAAGCAUUUACAUAAAUUCAUAUCAAUUACUUGUUCAUUUUGUUAAUCAACUGGUAAGUAUGAGACACCGACACAAAAAUUGACAUGCUGUUGACACAUGACACUGACACAGACAUCAAUAAUAAUGUAAGUAAAUAUAAGUGACUGAAUAUAACCAUGUGUGUUGAAUACCGACCACACCUUCAAUUUGAAGGGUCGGCGUUACAUACGCUUCGUUUAUAAAAAGGCUACUCACAUCGAGAGAUGAUAGCUAUGUUGGCACCCAAGCUGCUAAUAAUAUAAACUACUGUGACUACAAGUCUUGAACUUAUAUAGCAAUCCUAACUGAAUCAGUUAAGUUAGUUAUGAGUAGUAACUGAUAUAACGGAAAGAUGCAGCAAACGAUUCUAACUGAAACUUGAGUGUUUAACAUAUUUGUUUGUAACAAAUUUUAAGACACAUAGUAUUAGUAAACACAGUUUGUAACUCUGGAAAAUAAACAGAACCAUUUGAUUUGAUCAAUGUGUUUUGAUACACUUAGUAUGGUUUUCCAAAGAAAAAUAUGUAAAUUAAGAGCAUUAAGAGACAUCAUAGAGACUAGUAGACAUCAGAGAGACAUCUAGUAGCACUAAUCCUUUCAAACAAGUUUAAAACCUAGAAUUAUGUGUAUUUUUCAUGGUUGACACGAGUUUAAUAGAUAUGCUCUGUCAAUGUAAUUUACACUGACAUCCAAUAUGAAUCAGGCAUUUCACCAUGUCAUACAAUUAAAGUGGGGUGUAGUGGGGUGAUUUGACGGAAUACACGGUCGCUAUUAAAUGACAGUGUAAAAUUAGUUUACACUGUCUGUGCAUAUAUUAUUUUGUCAUACCUAAUAUAUAACUUGUAUUUGUGUAAAUAUGUUUGCAGCAUAUGCCAAGAUUUCAACCUGAAAACCUGCAGCAAAAUCAGAUUAUAUUUGAGAGGGUUAAUGAAUUGGCUACAAAGAAAGGAUGUACUCCAUCUCAACUUGCAUUGGCCUGGCUUCAUCACCAAGGAAACGACGUGUGUCCGAUACCUGGAACAACCAAAAUUGAGAACUUUAAUCAAAACAUUGGAGCUUUGUCGGUAAAAUUAACACCAGAAGAACUGGCAGAAAUUGAGUCCUUAGCAGAUAUUGUUAAAGGCGAUAGAUCUGGGAGUGAACCUACAUGGAAAGACUCUGAUACUCCACCACUUUCUUCUUGGAAAACUGCAUAAUGAAGUGGUUUGAUUGCUUAUUAAUCGUAUCAACAUAAUUUUAAAUUGUGGUUGCAAUUACGCUAUGAAAUUUUAUUCUAUGUUAAAAUACGGGCAAAUGUGGCUGCAUAUUCGGUUGCAGACUACUAUUUAGAAUCAUAAAUAUCAGUAUUCCAUAUGUAUUUGAUGUUACUACCUUAAAAAUUAAUAAAUUGGUCCGAGGAAAAGGAUUUUGGUUGUAUAAACAUCUAUAGUUUCUAGCAUAUGUGUGAUUUGAACUCUAAUGAAUAUGACUCUAUUAUAUUGAGUUUAAUAAAUUUUAUCCAUAAAUUGUAAUAGCUAAUAAAUUUUGCAUAGGUUUUAAUUUUUUAUAUGCGUAUCAUGUUUUCUAAUUUUAGACCAGAAAAUAUGUUGUAACCAAAAAAUGUCCAGAAAAUAUGUUUGUUUUUGUUGUUUAAAUUUGAGAUCUAAAAUGGAAAACAACAUAAAAACUAGUAAUUGAAAUUGUCUCAAGGCAACACAGCAUUCAUAAAUACAACCAUAUGACAUACAUAAACAAGAAAAUAUAAAAAUCAACACAUGGUCCAUGCAUGGGUCCAAAGAACCAAUGUGGUGUCACCUCAAAAGGUUCAAAGAAGUCAUGUUGAUAUACGUAAUAAUUGAAGGAUACAUUUUGAGUAAAUUAUACACGCUCUUUUUUUUGUCAAGUAGUUUAGUGGCUAGACUCACACAUUUAAAUGUAAAAAAAUGUAGAACCUGAGAUUCGAAUCCCGACCACCCCAAUACACACUCUUCUCUUCUAAAACAGUAACAUUAGCAUCCUAAUAGAUACACGCGUAGACGCGCGUGUACCAUGCCAAGAUCAAGUUCACCAAAAACAAUUAUAGACAGAAAAGUAAACUAGGUUGAAAAAAUGUGACAAUGGGGCCUGACCUUCCUUUCUAACAAUCAAGUGAUAAUGGUGAUGUUUUCUUUGCAGGCAUUGUUAGGUAGACGUUGAGGAUAAAUUUUUCUCUCGAGAAGCCCCGUGGGGGACGGGGACCUGUUGUAGUAGUUCCUCGGUUUUCAGAUAAUGGACGCUUUAACAGACAUUGAGUUGAAUUUGCCGUAUGGAAUUUAUGUAUGUGUCUCUGAAUCAAAUUAAAAUUAUUAGCUAAUAGAUACAAUUUUUUUGUAUUGUUUAUCAUAUUCUCUUUAAUUUGUAGAAAUUGAAAUUUAGCUAAGAUGUUGAAUCAAUUUUUUACAUCAGGAUAGUAGUCAUGCAAAUAUGACAUUGCGUGGAUCACUGAGAAAUUUUCAGCACAAAUCGUGAUUGAUACUAUAAUGUUCUGCUUAAAGUAUCAAUGUUGAGUUCUUCGGUCCAAGCUUAAUGAUCAUAAAAGAAUAGAUGCAUGUAGUUUGUAUGCUUCAUUAUGCCAAAAAUCAUUAGUUUUGGUGUCAUGAACUCUACAAAUAUGAAGUCACGAAUAUUUCAUACACUUCAAUAUAGUUAAAUAUGUAGGCUUAUGCAAUUUGUCAUUUUAUAUUAUUAACAUGCAUGUUGUAGGUGAAAUUGGUAGCUCUACUGACUCGAGCUAAGGGUGAAAGUAGCUAAGGGAGAAAACGACAGAUAUUAGAGAUAAUACAAUGUAUGCAUUGACUUUAAACUAUUAGUAUUGGAGCAUAUGAUACUUUUCUUUAAAGAAUCAAUUUUGAAUUUCAUAUAUACUAGGAGGAAUAAAUAAUUUCUAUAACACUANNNNNNNNNNNNNNNNNNNNNNNNNNNNNNNNNNNNNNNNNNNNNNNNNNNNNNNNNNNNNNNNNNNNNNNNNNNNNNNNNNNNNNNNNNNNNNNNNNNNNNNNNNNNNNNNNNNNNNNNNNNNNNNNNNNNNNNNNNNNNNNNNNNNNNNNNNNNNNUAUAUAUAUAUCUAAAAUAUUAUAUAUUUAUGAAUAUUAGAAUAUCUUAUUUAAGUUACUUCAAACAUUUUUAUGUUACUCAUUUUGCCACAAUAGCUCCAAUCUUAUGAAAAUAAAAAAUAAAUAAGUUCAUUUAGAUCGAUGCUCUUAGUGGAAAUAUAUAUAUGCAAUGACUUGAUGGCCAAGUUUUGUGCUCCUCGGAUUAAGACAUUCGUCUAGUUGCCAAAUUGGAACUUAAUUUUUCUCCUUGUUUUUCCUUUCCUUGACUUUUCUUUAUAAUUUAAUUUUCACCUUUUAAUCAAAGUUUACCCUUUAAUUUCUUUUGUCGUAUGAUGAAAAAUAAUUAUAAAUAGUGCAAGGGGAGGGGAUACAAUUGACAACUUUAACUUUGUGUGGCCUUUACAUAGAAAGAGAAAACAUUUUGUUUAGUGUUGUAUUGUGAGACUCAUAGCAAUGGCAAAAGUGGGAAGAAUGAAGUUGGGAUCACAAGGUAUGGAAGUGUCUUUACAAGGACUUGGUUGCAUGAGCAUGUCUGCUUUUUAUGGUCCUCCUAAGCCUGAACCUGACAUGAUUUCUCUCAUCCACCAUGCCAUUCAAUCUGGUGUCACUCUUCUUGAUACUUCUGAUUUCUAUGGCCCUCAUACAAAUGAACUCCUUCUUGGAAAGGUUCUGAUCACUUUUUCUUAUUAAUAUAUUAUAUUUAGUCGUUUAAUUAUACUUUACUACCUCUCAGCCGAAUUCUAGCUUUUCGAGGCUCUUCAAUAGAGGGCUAAAAAAAAGAACAAAUGAUUGUGAAUUUGUGAUGAAGUGUGCAUGUUUGAAAUUGUGGAACAGGCUCUCAAAGGAGGGGUAAGAGAAAAGGUUGAAUUGGCUACCAAGUUUGGAGCUAGAACUAUUGAUGGGAAGUUUGAGAUUUGUGGUGAUCCAGCUUAUGUGAGAGAAGCUUGUGAAGCCAGCUUGAAAAGACUUGAUAUUGAUUGUAUUGAUCUCUAUUAUCAACAUCGUAUUGAUACUCGUCUUCCAGUUGAAGUCACGGUUUGAUUCUUCUAACUUCUCUUUAAUUUGAUUUUGGUAGUAUAAAAUGUGUAUACCGUGAAGCAUUGUCUAAGCUAUGAAAUUGAAUUAUUUAUUCAAAUAUAUACAAAGACAAUUUGUGACAACUUCAACUUUUCCCUUUUUUUAUGGAAGAUUGGCGAGCUUAAGAAACUUGUUGAAGAGGGAAAAAUAAAAUACAUUGGUUUGUCUGAGGCCUCACCUUCAACAAUCAGAAGAGCACACGCAGUUCAUCCGAUAACAGCUGUGCAAUUAGAGUGGUCACUUUGGUCAAGAGAUGUGGAAGAAGAAAUAAUUCCAACUUGCAGGUUUGAUUUAGUUUACAACCAUUAUCUUCUGUUAUCUAGCAUUUGUCUUUCUAGUAAUUUGAUAAAAUUGUAAUGAUAUGAAUCACCGACACAAACACUGGAUACGAUAAUAACAUGUAGAUACCAGUAAUAGUUUCAGAAAAUGAAAGUGAUAAAUUGUAACUACAUGUAUUGGCGUCAUGUCUGACACCAAACACCUCUUUAAUCUGAAUUGUCGGUGCUAAUGAGCUAUGAUUUUAUUUCUUAGGGAACUUGGUAUUGGAAUUGUUGCAUAUAGUCCUCUUGGGCGAGGAUUCUUUUCAUCUGGAACAAAGAUUGUUGAGAACUUCACAAAGGAUGACUUCCGCCAGGUUUGAGGCACUUAAAUAGUAUUCGUAAACACAAUUGGCUACAUCAUUGAGACAUAAUUAGAAUCAUCCACCCAUCAUUGAUAUUGUUACCAAAAAAUAUUUUUGCAGGAUAUGCCUAGAUUUCAGCCUGAAAACCUGCAGCAAAAUCAGACUAUAUUUGAGAGGGUUAAUGAAUUGGCUACAAAGAAGGGAUGUACACCAUCACAACUUGCACUGGCCUGGCUUCAUCACCAAGGAAACGACGUGUGCCCGAUACCCGGAACCACCAAAAUUGAGAACUUUAAUCAAAACAUUGGGGCUUUGUCAGUAAAAUUAACACCAGAAGAAAUGGCAGAAAUUGAAUCCUUAGCAGAUAUUGUUAAAGGUGAUAGAUCUGCGAAUGCACCUACAUGGAAGGACUCUGAUACUCCACCACUUUCUUCUUGGAAAAAUGCUUAAUGAAAUGGUUUGAUUUCAUAUUGCGCAUAUCAACAUAGUUUUAAUUUGUGGUUGCAGUACGCUGCAAAAUUUUAUAUUGUGUUAAAAUACAAGCAAAUGUGGAUGCAUUUGUGGAUGCGGGCCACUAUUUAGAAUCAUGCAUAUUAGCAUGCCAUGGAUAUUUGAUGUUACUGCCUUAAAAAAUAAAUUGGUAUGAGG
rnacentral:lncRNA from 1 species